rnacentral:rRNA from 1 species
UACGUAGGGUGCAAGCGUUGUCCGGAAUUAUUGGGCGUAAAGAGCUCGUAGGCGGCUUGUCACGUCGGGUGUGAAAGCCCGGGGCUUAACCCCGGGUCUGCAUUCGAUACGGGCUAGCUAGAGUGUGGUAGGGGAGAUCGGAAUUCCUGGUGUAGCGGUGAAAUGCGCAGAUAUCAGGAGGAACACCGGUGGCGAAGGCGGAUCUCUGGGACGGUACUGACGCUGAGACGCGAAAGCGUGGGGAGCGAACAGG